AACGAACGCUGGCGGCAUGCCUAACACAUGCAAGUCGAACGAGACCUUCGGGUCUAGUGGCGCACGGGUGCGUAACGCGUGGGAACCUGCCUUUAGGUUCGGAAUAACUCAGAGAAAUUUGAGCUAAUACCGGAUGAUGUCUUCGGACCAAAGAUUUAUCGCCUUUAGAUGGGCCCGCGUUGGAUUAGCUAGUUGGUGGGGUAAAGGCCUACCAAGGCGACGAUCCAUAGCUGGUCUGAGAGGAUGAUCAGCCACACUGGGACUGGGACACGGCCCAGACUCCUACGGGAGGCAGCAGUGGGGAAUAUUGGACAAUGGGCGAAAGCCUGAUCCAGCAAUGCCGCGUGAGUGAUGAAGGCCUUAGGGUUGUAAAGCUCUUUUACCCGAGAUGAUAAUGACAGUAGCGGGAGAAUAAGCUCCGGCUAACUCCGUG
rnacentral:rRNA from 1 species